rnacentral:lncRNA from 1 species
AUUCAAAUUAAUCAAAGGUCUAAGUUUGCAAUACAUAUGAAUUUCAUUGCCCGAUUAAAAUUUAGAAAUUAAUUGAAUAAUAUUAAUAAUGAAAAACAAAAAAAAAAAUCUCCCAUUUGUUGAUGGCAGACAGCGAAUUUAAGGGGAUGGUUGAAAGAGAAGAAUUUGGCUCCCAUCUCUUCAAGAGCCACGUGGUGUGACAUUAUUGGAAGAAAAAAAGAAACGGUUUUGGGAACUGGUGGUCAUCCAAACAAGGCCUUAGAAAAGGGCCUUACAUGCUGAUUGAAGGGGGGACAGUUGGUAACGUUAAAAAAAAAGAAAAAAAAAAAGAGAUUCAAAAUCCCUUAUGAAUC